AUGGAGGACCUACCGGAGGCUCUGGUGACAGAGAUUCUCAAGAGGAUCACCAGCACAAGUGAUCUGAAUUCUCUUUCCCUUGUGUCAAAGCAGCUCUACAAGAUAGAGGGGAAUCAGAGAGGUGCUAUCCAUGUUGGUUCUGGUCUUUGCACUGCUACGAAAGCACUGACAUCAUUGUGCGCCCGGUUCCCAAAUUUGCGGAAAGUGGAAAUUGAUUACUCUGCUUAUUGCAAGACAUUGGUGUCUCUCAGGCUGAACUCUGCACCAAAAAUAACGUCAAUUGGGCUUUUCUCGGUCGCAGUUGGUUGCACAAGUCUAUCUGCCCUCCACCUUAUUGAUUGCGAGAAAAUUGACAGUGUAGAGUGGCUGGAAUACCUUGGUAGGGAUGGAUCAUUGAAAGAGCUUGUAGUGAAGAAUUGCAAAGGAGUCAAUCAUCGUGACUUCCUAAAGUUUGGUUCAGGAUGGAUGAAGCUCCAGAAGUUUGAGUUUGAGAGGAAAAGAGGAAUAGAUGAUCGUCUUCUAGGUGAUAUGGUCUAUGACUCCUCGUACAAUGCUCACAACACGGAUAUAUAUGAUUUCUGUUGUGAGAGUUUGAAGGAUUUGAGAUUCGCGCAUAUUAAAACUUGGCCAGAAGUAGGACUUCGUGUUGUUCUAGGGAAGUGUAAAGCAUUGGAGAAGCUUUGCCUUGAGACGUCAUUUACUGAUAACAGCCUUUAUGCUAUAGCCCUCAACUGUCCUAUGCUUCAGAUCAUAGACCUCAGAUUUACACGAUGUUCCCGUGACUGGCCGUUAGAAAUAGGAUUCACACAGAAGGGUUUUCUGACACUCAUUCAGUCCCGCGCAAUUCGUGUUCUCGUGCUAAACAACGCCAACUUCUUUGACGAGGGGAUGAAGGCCGUCUCAUCUUCACCACAUCUGGAGACACUCGAGCUUAUAUUGUGUCAUGCGGUAACUUAUGUUGGGAUGCGCUUCAUUGCGCACACCCCAUGCUUGAGUAAUCUCAUACUUCGGGCGUGUCAUAACAUUACUGAUGUUGGAAUGGCUGAACUGGGACGUGCACAUAAGUUAGAGUCUUUGGUCAUUGAGUAUUGUGGUGAGAUCUCUCUGCAAGCUGCGCAAGGUGUAAUCAAGUCAGUUCACUACUCCAGCAAGUUUUCAGAUGCCCUGAAGAAGAAACUUGGAUUUUUGGGCAAGUGUUGA
rnacentral:rRNA from 1 species